rnacentral:rRNA from 1 species
UACGGAGGGGGCAAGCGUUGUUCGGAAUUACUGGGCGUAAAGGGCGUGUAGGCGGUUGGGUAAGUCAGUUGUGAAAGCCCCAAGCUUAACUUGGGAAUUGCAACUGAAACUGCUCAGCUAGAGUUCAGGAGAGGAGAGCGGAACUCCCAGUGUAGCGGUGAAAUGCGUAGAUAUUGGGAGGAACACCGGUGGCGAAGGCGGCUCUCUGGACUGAAACUGACGCUGAGGCGCGAAAGCUAGGGGAGCAAACGGG